UACGGGGGGGGCAAGCGUUGUUCGGAAUUACUGGGCGUAAAGGGCUCGUAGGUGGCCAACUAAGUCAGACGUGAAAUCCCUCGGCUUAACCGGGGAACUGCGUCUGAUACUGGAUGGCUUGAGUUCGGGAGAGGGAUGCGGAAUUCCAGGUGUAGCGGUGAAAUUCGUAGAUAUUGGGAAGAACACCAGUGGCGAAGGCGGCUCACUGGCCCGUAACUGACGCUGAGGUGCGAAAGCGUGGGGAGCAAACAGG
rnacentral:rRNA from 1 species